rnacentral:rRNA from 1 species
ACGAACGCUGGCGGCGUGCUUAACACAUGCAAGUCGAACGGAAAGGCCCCUUUGGGGGUACUCGAGUGGCGAACGGGUGAGUAACACGUGAGUAACCUGCCCUUGACUUCGGGAUAACUUCAGGAAACUGGGGCUAAUACCGGAUAGGAAUCCUUGCUGCAUGGUGGGGGUUGGAAAGCUUCGGCGGUUUUGGAUGGACUCGCGGCUUAUCAGCUUGUUGGUGGGGUAGUGGCUUACCAAGGCUUUGACGGGUAGCCGGCCUGAGAGGGCGACCGGCCACAGUGGGACUGAGAUACGGCCCAGACUCCUACGGGAGGCAGCAGUGGGGAAUAUUGCACAAUGGGCGGAAGCCUGAUGCAGCAACGCCGCGUGCGGGAUGACGGACUUCGGGUUGUAAACCGCGUUCAGCAGGGGCGAAGCUUGUGGUGACGGUACCUGCAGAAGAAGCACCGGCUAACUACGUG